AGUCGAACGGUGAAGCCAAGCUUGCUUGGUGGAUCAGUGGCGAACGGGUGAGUAACACGUGAGCAACCUGCCCUGGACUCUGGGAUAAGCGCUGGAAACGGCGUCUAAUACUGGAUAUGAGCUCUCAUCGCAUGGUGGGGGUUGGAAAGAUUUUUCGGUCUGGGAUGGGCUCGCGGCCUAUCAGCUUGUUGGUGAGGUAAUGGCUCACCAAGGCGUCGACGGGUAGCCGGCCUGAGAGGGUGACCGGCCACACUGGGACUGAGACACGGCCCAGACUCCUACGGGAGGCAGCAGUGGGGAAUAUUGCACAAUGGGCGGAAGCCUGAUGCAGCAACGCCGCGUGAGGGAUGACGGCCUUCGGGUUGUAAACCUCUUUUAGCAGGGAAGAAGCGAGAGUGACGGUACCUGCAGAAAAAGCGCCGGCUAACUACGUGCCAGCAGCCGCGGUAAUACGUAGGGCGCAAGCGUUAUCCGGAAUUAUUGGGCGUAAAGAGCUCGUAGGCGGUUUGUCGCGUCUGCUGUGAAAUCCCGAGGCUCAACCUCGGGCCUGCAGUGGGUACGGGCAGACUAGAGUGCGGUAGGGGAGAUUGGAAUUCCUGGUGUAGCGGUGGAAUGCGCAGAUAUCAGGAGGAACACCGAUGGCGAAGGCAGAUCUCUGGGCCGUAACUGACGCUGAGGAGCGAAAGGGUGGGGAGCAAACAGGCUUAGAUACCCUGGUAGUCCACCCCGUAAACGUUGGGAACUAGUUGUGGGGACCAUUCCACGGUUUCCGUGACGCAGCUAACGCAUUAAGUUCCCCGCCUGGGGAGUACGGCCGCAAGGCUAAAACUCAAAGGAAUUGACGGGGACCCGCACAAGCGGCGGAGCAUGCGGAUUAAUUCGAUGCAACGCGAAGAACCUUACCAAGGCUUGACAUACACCAGAACACCGUAGAAAUACGGGACUCUUUGGACACUGGUGAACAGGUGGUGCAUGGUUGUCGUCAGCUCGUGUCGUGAGAUGUUGGGUUAAGUCCCGCAACGAGCGCAACCCUCGUUCUAUGUUGCCAGCACGUAAUGGUGGGAACUCAUGGGAUACUGCCGGGGUCAACUCGGAGGAAGGUGGGGAUGACGUCAAAUCAUCAUGCCCCUUAUGUCUUGGGCUUCACGCAUGCUACAAUGGCCGGUACAAAGGGCUGCAAUACCGUGAGGUGGAGCGAAUCCCAAAAAGCCGGUCCCAGUUCGGAUUGAGGUCUGCAACUCGACCUCAUGAAGUCGGAGUCGCUAGUAAUCGCAGAUCAGCAACGCUGCGGUGAAUACGUUCCCGGGUCUUGUACACACCGCCCGUCAAGUCAUGAAAGUCGGUAACACCUGAAGCCGGUGGCCCAACCCUUGUGGAGGGAGCCGUCGAAGGGGGA
rnacentral:rRNA from 1 species